rnacentral:lncRNA from 1 species
UCCCUACUGGCCGCUCGAAGCUUGAAGCUGCAGUUCACUUUCGCGAAUGAGUCCCAGGACACCGGAACCAGGACUCCCCGGCGCACCCGGAGAGUUUCCGAGCUCCUUUGAAGUAUGAAUCAGAACUUCUGGAUGGGAAUCCUGGAGCCACCACUUGCCCUAUGGUCGCAAUGGGCAAGUCGCUCAACCUCCCAGAUCCUGUUUUCUCAUGAGUAAAACGGGGAUUAUAAUACCCACCUGACAAUAUUAUUUUUGUGAGAAUUAAAUGAGUUUAGAAUGUAA